rnacentral:tRNA from 6 species
UAAAAAGUCCUUUAGACACAAAGG